rnacentral:rRNA from 1 species
UGGGGAAUAUUGCACAAUGGGCGCAAGCCUGAUGCAGCCAUGCCGCGUGUGUGAAGAAGGCCUUCGGGUUGUAAAGCACUUUCAGCGGGGAGGAAGGCGAUAAGGUUAAUAACCUUGUCGAUUGACGUUACCCGCAGAAGAAGCACCGGCUAACUCCGUGCCAGCAGCCGCGGUAAUACGGAGGGUGCAAGCGUUAAUCGGAAUUACUGGGCGUAAAGCGCACGCAGGCGGUCUGUCAAGUCGGAUGUGAAAUCCCCGGGCUCAACCUGGGAACUGCAUUCGAAACUGGCAGGCUAGAGUCUUGUAGAGGGGGGUAGAAUUCCAGGUGUAGCGGUGAAAUGCGUAGAGAUCUGGUGGAAUACCGGUGGCGAAGGCGGCCCCAUGGACAAAGACUGACGCUCAGGUGCGAAAGCGUGGGGAGCAAACAGG